UACGAAGGGUGCAAACGUUGCUCGGAAUUAUUGGGCGUAAAGCGCGUGUAGGCGGCUUUGCAAGUCGGGUGUGAAAGCCCUCAGCUCAACUGAGGAAGUGCGCCCGAAACUGCAGAGCUUGAGUACCGGAGAGGAUGGCGGAAUUCCCCAAGUAGAGGUGAAAUUCGUAGAUAUGGGGAGGAACACCGGUGGCGAAGGCGGCCAUCUGGACGGAUACUGACGCUGAGACGCGAAAGCGUGGGUAGCAAACAGG
rnacentral:rRNA from 1 species